rnacentral:misc_RNA from 1 species
CCUACGGGUGGCAGCAGUGGGGAAUAUUGCACAAUGGGCGAAAGCCUGAUGCAGCGACGCCGCGUGAGGGAUGACGGCCUUCGGGUUGUAAACCUCUUUCAGUAGGGAAGAAGCGAAAGUGACGGUACCUGCAGAAGAAGCGCCGGCUAACUACGUGCCAGCAGCCGCGGUAAUACGUAGGGCGCAAGCGUUAUCCGGAAUUAUUGGGCGUAAAGAGCUCGUAGGCGGUUUGUCGCGUCUGCCGUGAAAGUCCGGGGCUCAACUCCGGAUCUGCGGUGGGUACGGGCAGACUAGAGUGAUGUAGGGGAGACUGGAAUUCCUGGUGUAGCGGUGAAAUGCGCAGAUAUCAGGAGGAACACCGAUGGCGAAGGCAGGUCUCUGGGCAUUAACUGACGCUGAGGAGCGAAAGCAUGGGGAGCGAACAGGAUUAGAUACCCUAGUAGUC